AUUGAACGCUGGCGGCAUGCCUUACACAUGCAAGUCGAACGGCAGCACGGGUGCUUGCACCUGGUGGCGAGUGGCGAACGGGUGAGUAAUACAUCGGAACAUGUCCUGUAGUGGGGGAUAACCCGGCGGAAGCCGGAGUAAUACCGCAUACGAUCUACGUAUGAAAGCGGGGGACCUUCGGACCUCGCGCUAUAGGGUUAGCCGAUGGCUGAUUAGCUAGUUGUUGGGGUAAAGGCCUACCAAGGCGACGAUCAGUAGCUGGUCUGAGAGGACGACCAGCCACACUGGGACUGAGACACGGCCCAGACUCCUACGGGAGGCAGCAGUGGGGAAUUUUGGACAAUGGGCGAAAGCCUGAUCCAGCAAUGCCGCGUGUGUGAAGAAGGCCUUCGGGUUGUAAAGCACUUUUGUCCGGAAAGAACUCCUUGGCUCUAAUACAGUCGGGGGAUGACGGUACCGGAUGAAUAAGCACCGGCUAACUACGUG
rnacentral:rRNA from 1 species